rnacentral:other from 1 species
AUUUUACGGCGAUGUUGGUGACUGCCAAUACUGUUUUUUGAUCUAUGUUGGUUUUUAAAUGGGAGCUCAAGAUUGUUUUGCAGCCGUAUACCGAGCCAGUACUCGGAAACUUAAGCGAGAUACAGUAGCACCCACCUGGUUCUUCCAGGUCAUAAACUGAGGUAAGACGGCAUUGCGGUAAACAA